rnacentral:lncRNA from 1 species
AUGGCCAAGACACCACAAUCACAAUGUGUCUUGCAGGUCAUAGCUCCCCUUUCUGAUAUUUUCAACUCAUGGGUAUGGCUCCUGCUGGCUUCCUUCACGCUUGCUCUGCACAAAAAUACACACACACUCACACGCGCGCGCGCGCGCGCGCGCACACACACAUACACACAUACACACACACACACACACACACUCCUCAGUACUCCUGACAUCCAACCAGGUGCCGUGGAUAGAAGAGCCAUCAUCUGCCCAGCAGUCUGGCAGCCUGGAGACCUUUCCCCUGGCCUAGUGCUCGCCGACGAUCAGAAUGACAAGAAAAAAUACUUUCUGCCGCCGGCGCCGCCCCCAGGAGCCGCCGGGACCCUCGCGCCGUCGCCGCCGCCGCCUGGAUCCCCGCACCAUGUCAGCGGAGACGACCUUCAAGCAGCGCCGCACCUUCCAACAACGAGUAGAUGUCCGACUUGAAUUCAAGAGCAGCAUCCAGCCAAAAGCCCGGUGAUAACAGAACGAUACAAGGGUGAGAAGCAGCUUCCUGUCCUGGAUAAAACGAAGUUCCUUGUACCUGACGUUCGAGACGUCAACAUGAGUGAGCUCAUCAAGAUAAUUAGAAGGCGCUUACAGCUCAAUGCUAAUCAAGCCUUCCUCCUGGUGGUGAACGGACAUAGCAUGGUGAGCGUCUCCACACCAGUCUCAGAGGUGUAUGAGAGUGAGAAGGAUGAAGAUGGAUUCCUGUACAUGGUCUAUGCCUCCCAGGAGACGUUUGGGAUGAAAUUGUCAGUGUAAAACUAGAAAAAUGCAUCUAUUCUAGAAUUUUUUAAACCCUUACCAAGGGAAAAAAAGGGAUGUUACCAACUGAGAUCGAUCAGUUCAUCUAAUCAUAGAUCAUCAAACAGUAGUGUUCCCACCUAGGAGUGUUAGAAGGUGUGUUUGUAUUUCAAGCGGAAGAACUGAGCUCCAAGUGAGCACGUUCAGCUUUGGAAACUAUAUUAUUUAAUGUAGGCUAGCUUGUUUUCAAAUUUUAAAAGUUUAAAGAUAAAAUACUUUGCAUUCUAAGUUGCCAAUAAAAUAGACCUUCAAGAUAUUUUAAUGCUCUUUUCUCACUAAUAGGAACUUCCAAUUCCAGCAGUAAUUUAAAGGCUUUCAGAGAGACCCUGAGUCUUCUCUUCAGGUUCACAGAACCCACCGCCUUUUUGGAUAGAAGUUUUCUACUCAGCUAGAGAGAUUUCCCUAAGAGGAUCUGUAGGCCUCAGUUGUGAAGCAUAAUCCCUGCAAAACGCAUUUGCCAUAAUAGUUGGCACAAACGCAGGGUAAAUGGGGUGUGUGUAAGAAAACAGCCCUGACUGUAAACUGCUGCUCGAGGUUCCUGACUCCUAACAGAACUACACCCAAAGUCCACACUCUUGCAGGGGUAGACAUUUCUUAUUUGGUUUGUUCUCUAGUUACGCACAUAAAGAUACCACUCAAAAGGAAACUUGAGUAAUUUAUAAUUUCGAUCCAGUUUCUCAAAAGACCCUGGAGAAAGAGUGGCACUUCUUCUGUUUCAGCUUUUGUCGGAGUUCGAACUAGCGCCUGUGUUGGUAUGGAAAGAAGCAGUGUACCAGUGUCAUUCUUUAGGACAGCGGUAGAAACCACAGAACAGUAUAACUAAAAGCAUUAAAA